rnacentral:rRNA from 1 species
AUUGAACGCUGGCGGCAUGCCUAACACAUGCAAGUCGAGCGAGCGGCGGACGGGUGAGUAAUGGAUGGGAAUCUGCCCGAAAGAGGGGGAUAACUACUGGAAACGGUGGGUAAUACCGCAUACAAACGGUUGAACCCAUAUGGGAUUAGCUAGUAGGUGGGGUAAAGUCUCACCUAGGCGACGAUCUCUAGCUGCGCUGAGAGGAUGGUAAGCCACACUGGGGCUGAGACACCGCCCAUACACCUACGGGAGGGAGCAGUGGGGAAUAUGGCGCAAUGGGCGCAAGCCUGAUGCAGCAAGGCGGCGUGUAUGGAGAAGGCCUUAGGUGUGUAAAGUACUUUCAGCGGGGAGACGUUACCCGUAUAAGAAGCACCGGCUAACUCCGUGCCAGCAGCCGCGGUAAUAC